rnacentral:rRNA from 1 species
CCUACGGGUGGCAGCAGUGGGGAAUAUUGCACAAUGGGCGCAAGCCUGAUGCAGCCAUGCCGCGUGUGUGAAGAAGGCCUUCGGGUUGUAAAGCACUUUCAGCGGGGAGGAAGGCGGUGAGGUUAAUAACCUCAUCGAUUGACGUUACCCGCAGAAGAAGCACCGGCUAACUCCGUGCCAGCAGCCGCGGUAAUACGGAGGGUGCAAGCGUUAAUCGGAAUUACUGGGCGUAAAGCGCACGCAGGCGGUCUGUCAAGUCGGAUGUGAAAUCCCCGGGCUCAACCUGGGAACUGCAUUCGAAACUGGCAGGCUAGAGUCUUGUAGAGGGGGGUAGAAUUCCAGGUGUAGCGGUGAAAUGCGUAGAGAUCUGGAGGAAUAUCGGUGGCGAAGGCGGCCCCCUGGACAAAGACUGACGCUCAGGUGCGAAAGCGUGGGGAGCAAACAGGAUUAGAUACCCCAGUAGUC